rnacentral:rRNA from 1 species
CCUACGGGAGGCGGCAGUGAGGAAUAUUGGUCAAUGGGCGCGAGCCUGAACCAGCCAAGUCGCGUGAGGGAAGAAGGUCCUAUGGAGUGUAAACCUCUUUUGUCGGGGAGCAAAAGACGCCACGCGUGGCGUUCCGAGAGUACCCGAAGAACAAGCAUCGGCUAACUCCGUGCCAGCAGCCGCGGUAAUACGGAGGAUGCGAGCGUUAUCCGGAUUGAUUGGGUUUAAAGGGUGCGCAGGCGGAAGAUCAAGUCAGCGGUAAAAUUGAGGGGCUCAACCUCUUCGAGCCGUUGAAACUGGUUUUCUUGAGUGGGUGAGAAGUAUGCGGAAUGCGUGGUGUAGCGGUGAAAUGCAUAGAUAUCACGCAGAACUCCGAUUGCGAAGGCAGCAUACCGGCGCUCAACUGACGCUCAUGCACGAAAGUGUGGGUAUCGAACAGGAUUAGAUACCCCAGUAGUC